UUUCGCAAUGCCCGAAAGGGUGACGAAGCGACGCCGCGUGGGUGAGGAAGGCCUUCGGGUUGUAAAGCCCUGUCAGGAGUUAUGAAAUGUAAGUGCGCUAAUAUCGUGCUUAUUUGACAAAGGCUCCAAAGGAAGCCACGGCUAACUCUGUGCCAGCAGCCGCGGUAAUACAGAGGUGGCGAGCGUUGUUCGGAAUUAUUGGGCGUAAAGAGCACGUAGGUGGGUUUGCAAGUCAGAUGUGAAAGCCUUCUGUUCAACGGAAGAAUUGCAUCUGAAACUGCUAAUCUUGAGUAUAGGAGGGGAGAAUGGAACUUCUGGUGGAGCGGUGAAAUGCGUAGAUAUCAGAAGGAACGCCGGCGGCGAAAGCGAUUCUCUGGCCUAUUACUGACACUCAGUGUGCGAAAGCUAGGGGAGCAAACGGGAUUAGAUACCCCGGUAGUCCUAGCCGUAAACGAUGGGCACUAAGUAGAGGGGUUUUA
rnacentral:rRNA from 1 species